GCACAAGCGGUGGAGCAUGUGGAUUAAUUCGAUGCAACGCGAAGAACCUUACCAAGGCUUGACAUGGACCGGACCGGGCUGGAAACAGUCCUUCCCCUUUGGGGCUGGUUUACAGGUGGUGCAUGGUUGUCGUCAGCUCGUGUCGUGAGAUGUUGGGUUAAGUCCCGCAACGAGCGCAACCCUCGCCUUUAGUUGCCAUCAUUUAGUUGGGCACUCUAAAGGGACUGCCGGUGAUAAGCCGGAGGAAGGUGGGGAUGACGUCAAGUCCUCAUGGCCCUUACGGGCUGGGCUACACACGCGCUACAAUGGUGGUGACAGUGGGCAGCGAGACCGCGAGGUCGAGCUAAUCCCCAAAAGCCAUCUCAGUUCGGAUUGCACUCUGCAACUCGAGUGCAUGAAGUUGGAAUCGCUAGUAAUCGCAGAUCAGCAUGCUGCGGUGAAUACGUUCCCGGGC
rnacentral:rRNA from 1 species